rnacentral:rRNA from 1 species
GUAAAGCACUUUCAGUCGUGAGGAAGGCGGGUACGUUAAUAGCGUAUUCGUUUGACGUUAGCGACAGAAGAAAGCACCGGCUAACUCCGUGCCAGCAGCCGCGGUAAUACGGAGGGUGCGAGCGUUAAUCGGAAUUACUGGGCGUAAAGCGCAUGCAGGUGGUUUGUUAAGUCAGAUGUGAAAGACCCGGGGCUCAACCUCGGAAUAGCAUUUGAAACUGGCAGACUAGAGUACUGUAGAGGGGGGUAGGAAUUUCAGGUGUAGCGGUGAAAUGCGUAGAGAUCUGAAGGAAUACCGGUGGCGAAGGCGGCCCCCUCGGACAGAUACUGACACUCAGAUGCGAAAGCGUGGGGAGCAAACAGGAUUAGAUACCCUGGUAG